UGGGGUUUUUGGUGUCAUUAGUUGGGUUUUUGGGAUCCUUGUUGAUUUUUGUUGGGUUUUUGAGAUCAUUGUUGGAAUUUUUGGUGUCAUUUAUUGGGUUUUUGGGGAUCCUUGUUGACACCUGUUGGGUUUUUGGGGUCAUUCUUGGUGUUUCUGGUGUCAUUUCCUCGGUUUUUGGGUUCCUUGGUAACGUUUCUUGGGUUUUUGGGGCCAUUUGUUGGAUUUUUGGGAUCCCAGAUGGGGUUUUGGGUGUCAUUUGUUGGGUUUUUGGGAUCCUUGUUGACUCCUCUUGGGUAUUUGGGAUCCCAAAUGGGGUUUUCGGUGUCAUUUGUUGGGUUUUUGGGAUCCCAGAUGGGGUUUUUGGUGUCAUUUGUUGGGUUUUUGGGAUCCCAGAUGGGGUUUUGGUGUCAUUUGUUGGGUUUUGGGGAUCCUUGUUGGGUUUUUGGGGUCAUUCUUGGUGCGUUUGGUGUCAUUUGUUGCGUUUUUCACCUCAUGGCCGGGUUAGAUGACCUCAGAGCUCUCCCCUCGUUAACGCUGCCCGCUAAUUGCUCAGGUUCGCACGGCGGUGGCUCGGGGGGACCUGGCUCAGGCCGAGGUGGCCUCGCGGGAGGCACGGAAUUUCGCCUUCAUCUCCCUGGCCGUCGGCGUGGCCGCCACCGUGCUGUGCACCAUCCUCACCGUCGUCAUCCUCAUCGCCGCUCAGCACCACGACAACGACUGGGACCCUUAGUCGCCAUGGCAACCAGCGUCGUGCCCACAGCCCCCCACCGAAACCCCGUAGCAACCAGGGACGCAGUGGCCAUAGGGCUUGGCUCCGCCCACCCCGCUGUCGCCAUGGUAACGCCAAGCCCCGCCCACCUGGAUGCUCCGCCCACCGUUUUGCCACACCUUCACCUCAUUUGCAUGCCAAGCUCCGCCCCCUUCCGGUCAUGUGAUGGUAUUGAUGGACCAAUAAAAUCUCAGUGUUGGUAACAGCUGGGUCCGGGUUUAAUUAAGCAGCUCCUCAUUAACGAAGCGAUUAAUUAAUGGAGGGUGGGAAGCCUUCCUCGUUUCCCUGUUUCGUCUCCACAGCCCUUAAUGAACUGAUUUGUUAAUUAAUCUAAUUGCAAACAAUGCGAUGCUAUAAUGAUCACGUUUAUUAAUUAAUCCUUUCGUUAAGACCGGGAUAAUUGGGAAACCCCCCUAAAAUUCGGAUGUUUGGGGUCAGCGUGAAGAAUUUUGGCCGAAAUUUGGGGCGUUUGGGGUCAGAUUCGGGACUUUGGGGUAAAAAGUCGGGGAGCUUUGGCUCAGUGGGGACAUUUUUGGGGUGAAAAAUGGGGGAUUUGGGGUCAGCGUGAAGAAUUUGGGGUAAAAAAAAGGGGCGUCGCCUCCCCACCUCGACAUCCCAGCCCUCAGACCCCGCCCCCUUUUAAGCCCCGCCCCCUCAUUAACUGAUGAACUCCUCCUCUGCAGCUUGGUGCGUUUGUUAAUUAAUUCAUUCGUUAAUCACAGCGCUUAAUUUUGGAGGGAGCUGUGGCCCUGCCUUCAACCUUUCACCCCCACUUAACCCCAUAACCUUAACCCUUGACCUUUGCUCCUGACCUUUAACCUUUAACCCCCACCAACCCAUGACCUUAACCCUUGACCUUACUCCUGACCCUUAACCUUUAACCUUCCACCGUAACCCAACCCAUUAAUCCUAAUCUGACCCCAUAACCCCAAAUCAACCCCAUAGCCUCAACCCUUCACCUUUAAUCCUUACCCAUAACCUUAACCCCAAUCCAAACUUUAUCCCUAUUCCUUAACCUUUAACCCUUGACCUUUAAGCCUAACUCAGCCCCAUAACCUUAACCCUUACCCUCAAGCCACACUUAUUCAGGCCCCGCCCCUCCUCUC
ensembl:lncRNA